GUUAUUAUUUCUUCUUAACCGGCUUAGUAUGCUUAUAUAUAUGUACACGUAGACCAGAGAGAAAAAAGAGAAGAAGAGAGGAAAAUAGAAUGAUAAUAGUUAGUAGAAGAAGACGAGAGAAAAAUUAGAAGAAGAAAAGAAAUAAGAGUUGUAGUAGAUCGCAAAGCAGAAUCGAAAUUUUAGUGUUGCAUACAUUAAGGAAUAAGAUAUCAAUGAUUCGUGGGUUGAUGUGAGUUACAGUUAUUAUAAGGGUCGGCGGCUGACGCAUUUUGACAACCUUCUCCUCUUCAUCAUUUUUGCUUGAAGAUAAAUUUAUAGUAUAUAGAGUGGUCAGAGGGUCCCACUGCUUUUCAUAAUGUUUUAAAAUAUGUACUUGACUUUAUGUACUUGACGUGUAGUUAUUUGUUUUAAAAUUUUAA